AUGAACAACUUGGUAGAGGCAAGGUUUACUGAAAUCACAACAUUCUUUUUCUUUCCAACACAAACCUUAAUAUUGUUCCCCUUUCUGAAACCAAACACGAUUCUGAACAUACAUGUCUUCUCAGAACCAGAACCUACCACCGCGAAACCCUUCCAUCGUAAAUGGGUUGAAGAAGAUGAUGAAAAUAUUCAAAAUUUGAUGAUAGGUUGUUAG